GUCCAUGCCCUAAACUAUGAAUACUAGACGUUGGGAGUAAAAUCUCAGUGUCGGAGCUAACGCAUUAAGUAUUCCACCUGGGGAGUACGAUCGCAAGGUUGAAACUCAAAAGGAAUUGACGGGGGCCCGCACAAGCAGUGGAGCAUGUGGUUCAAUUCGAUGCAAACGCGAAGAACCUUACCUGGGCUUGACAUGUAAGCUAAGGCGAAAUGAAAAGUUCGCGUCCCGCAAGGGGAGCUUAUACAGGUGCUGCAUGGCUGUCGU
rnacentral:rRNA from 1 species